rnacentral:tRNA from 1 species
GCCAGCGUAGCUCAGCGGUAGAGCAACUCACUUGUAAUGAGUAGGUCAGGGGUUCGAGUCCCCUCGCUGGCU